AUUGAACGCUGGCGGCAUGCCUUACAUAUGCAAGUCGAACGGCAGCACGGGAGCAAUCCUGGUGGCGAGUGGCGAACGGGUGAGUAAUAUAUCGGAACGUGUCCAGUCGUGGGGAUAACGUAGCGAAAGCUACGCUAAUACCGCAUACGAUCUACGGAUGAAGCGGGGGAUCGCAAGACCUCGCGCGAUUGGAGCGGCCGAUAUCAGAUUAGGUAGUUGGUGAGGUAAGGCUCACCAAGCCGACGAUCUGUAACUGGUCUGAGAGGAUGAUCAGUCACACUGGAACUGAGACACGGUCCAGACUCCUACGGGAGGCAGCAGUGGGGAAUAUUGGACAAUGGGCGAAAGGCCUGAUCCAGCCAUCGCCGCGUGUGUGAAGAAGGUCUUCGGAUUGU
rnacentral:rRNA from 1 species